rnacentral:rRNA from 1 species
UUGAUCCUGGCUCAGGAUGAACGCUGGCGGCGUGCCUAAUACAUGCAAGUCGAGCGAACUGACGAGGAGCUUGCUCCUUUGACGUUAGCGGCGGACGGGUGAGUAACACGUGGGUAACCUACCUAUAAGACUGGAAUAACUCCGGGAAACCGGGGCUAAUGCCGGAUAACAUGUUGAACCGCAUGGUUCAACAGUGAAAGACGGUCUUGCUGUCACUUAUAGAUGGACCCGCGCCGUAUUAGCUAGUUGGUAAGGUAACGGCUUACCAAGGCGACGAUACGUAGCCGACCUGAGAGGGUGAUCGGCCACACUGGAACUGAGACACGGUCCAGACUCCUACGGGAGGCAGCAGUAGGGAAUCUUCCGCAAUGGGCGAAAGCCUGACGGAGCAACGCCGCGUGAGUGAUGAAGGUCUUCGGAUCGUAAAGCUCUGUUGUUAGGGAAGAACAUAUGUGUAAGUAACUGUGCACAUCUUGACGGUACCUAACCAGAAAGCCACGGCUAACUACGUGCCAGCAG